UACGUAGGGUGCAAGCGUUGUCCGGAAUUAUUGGGCGUAAAGAGCUCGUAGGCGGUUUGUCGCGUCUGCUGUGAAAAAUCCAGGGCUUAACCCUGGACCUGCAGUGGGUACGGGCAGACUAGAGUGCGGUAGGGGGAGAUCGGAAUUCCUGGUGUAGCGGUGAAAUGCGCAGAUAUCAGGAGGAACACCAAUGGCGAAGGCAGGUCUCUGGGCCACAACUGACGCUGAGGAGCGAAAGCAUGGGGAGCGAACAGG
rnacentral:rRNA from 1 species